GUGAGGAAUCUUCCACAAUGGGGGCAACCCUGAUGGAGCAACACCGCGUGCUGGAUGAAGGCCUUCGGGUCGUAAACAGCUUUUGUAUACGAAGAAUAUGACGGUAAUAUACGAAUAAGGGUCGGCUAACUACGUGCCAGCAGCCGCGGUCAUACGUAGGACCCAAGCGUUAUCCGGAGUGACUGGGCGUAAAGAGUUGCGUAGGCGGCUUAUUAAGCGAGUAGUGAAAUCUGGUGGCUCAACCAUCAACACAUUGCUCGAACUGAUAGGCUUGAGAAUGGUAGAGGUAGUUGGAAUUUCUUGUGUAGGAGUGAAAUCCGUAGAUAUAAGAAGGAACACCAAUGGCGUAGGCAGACUACUGGACCAUUUCUGACGCUGAGGCACGAAAGCGUGGGGAGCGAACCGGAUUAGAUACCCCUGUAGUCC
rnacentral:rRNA from 1 species